rnacentral:rRNA from 1 species
CAGCCGCCGCGGCAAUACCGGCGGCCCGAGUGGCGGUCACUAUUAUUGGGCUUAAAGCGUCCGUAGCCGGGUUGGGAAGUCCUCCGGGAAAUCUGGCCGCUUAACAGUCAGAAUGCCGGAGGAUACUCCCAGCCUAGGGAGCGGGAGAGGCCGAGGGGAUUCCCGGGGUAGGGGUGAAAUCCUAUAAUCCCCGGAGGACCACCAGUGGCGAAGGCGCCCGGCUAGCACGCGCCCGACGGUGAGGGACGAAAGCUGGGGGAGCAAAGGGGAUUAGAUACCCCCGUAGUCCCAGCUGUAAACGAUGCAGGCUAGGUGUUAGGCGGGCUUCGUGCCCGCCUAGUGCCGUAGGGAAGCCGUUAAGCCUGCCGCCUGGGGAGUACGGCCGCAAGGCUGAAACUUAAAGGAAUUGGCGGG